ACUCUCUUUUCCCAGUCCCCACCCCACCCGUGAGGCUGUGACCGACACUCCACAGUCCACUCCAGACUCCAAUGACUCCACAGAGUCCACACUUCGUCCCUGUCUCCCUGACUCCCUUCCCCUUUCCCCUUUUCCCAGCAGAUUAAGAAAUCACUUUCCCUAGAUUCAGAGCGUUCUUGGCGAGAUGAAGGCUUCAAAGGCUGACCCAGGUGGGGGUAUACGACUGUUGAUUGCGGCUGCUUGAUUAUUUCUGGUUUUGAUUCCAAAUCCUCAUCAAGAUUAUCGCCUACAAUCUGCCAUUCAACUUUUUUUAGUGGUUUUUUUUUUUGUGGAUCUUUUGUUUGCUACAACCAUAGUUUUGAAACCCGAUCCGGUCUAAUGAUCAGUCACGGGUUAGAUGGGUUGACCCGGGUUAACCCAAAAAAAAAUUAACUUGACAGAGAAAGAUAUUUCUGAGGGCCGAACCCCCUUAGUUACCUAA